rnacentral:rRNA from 1 species
ACUCCUACGGGAGGCAGCAGUGGGGAAUUUUGGACAAUGGGGGCAACCCUGAUCCAGCCAUUCCGCGUGAGUGAAGAAGGCCUUCGGGUUGUAAAGCUCUUUCGGCAGGAACGAAACGGUGGGCUCUAACAUAGUCCGCUAAUGACGGUACCUGAAGAAGAAGCACCGGCUAACUACGUGCCAGCAGCCGCGGUAAUACGUAGGGUGCGAGCGUUAAUCGGAAUUACUGGGCGUAAAGCGUGCGCAGGCGGUUGUGUAAGACAGGUGUGAAAUCCCC